rnacentral:rRNA from 1 species
AUGCGCUCAGGCGACACAGCGACCGCGGCGGUCUCCGGCGCACCCGUUACUCCCAGCAGCGCAUUGGAGAUGUCUCCCGGCCCGGACAGAAUGGCAGCAAACGCGACGUGUUCCGGAGAUGCGGCGGUGGCCAUCGGCCGGCGCGCGGCAGCACGGUCCUCGGCCUGGGCGGAGGCAGCCCACGAGGCACAAGACGCGGCGGCGCAACCACCGGUCUGCUCGCAGCCUCGCAUGAACAGCGGCAGCGGUUACCACAACGCACGCACGGGAAAGACAUUGGGGAAUCUUAUCCCUUUGGCUGUUGUUCGAUUUUGUCCUCAGACUUCAUCCUAA